GAUUAUAUCCUCAUGCAUAUCAGAUGCAUUGUCAACUUUUCAUUACACCAGUCUUCUUCCUACACUCAGUAUCUUCGCCUGUCCAUCUCCCCAAUCCAAGCAACAAUAUCUAAAUUAACAAAAAUACACUCGAUGUUGACCUAAACAAGACGCAUCAAAACUUGUUUUUUCGACAAGGCGAUGUUGUACAUUUUAAUUAACUAUUCCAUACCUAUGUGUUUUUAUGUAUAAAAAAGACCAGAUCCAAGAAAGAAUGGCAUGCAUCAAGAGUGUCCACACCGCCUUCAUUAUCCAUUUAUUGUGUUCUCCUUCGGACUCCUCUCGUAAAUAUUUGCUAUUGUUUCCUGCAACACAAAAUUAUCAAGUUUCAAUCACAACAUGUGAAAGCAGCACAAACUAAUAAUGGGUGGCUGCUACAUUGUCUCACACCAUCAUCAUUCCCAUCCUCUUGGUCUUCAGUCUUCCUCCGAAAAUGCUUCGUACCCUUAGAGGAUGCACUCGGCAAGCUCGUCGUGUGGUUGUCAAUCUUAUCAUCAUCAUCGGCCAAUAACUUGGAAGUGCUACAUUUCUUCACAAGCUUUGACUCCUCCCUUUCGUGUUUUUGGUAAUUCCGCGACAAAGGAAAGCAUCGCAAUAAAUCAUCAAAGACAAAGUUAUAUCAUUGUUCUUAACACACCAGGAUUGCUCAACGGAAGUGGUGGAUCAAAACUUCAAUGCUACUCGUGCCCUUGCGGGGACCUUGGUGUAUACUUACUAGGCAUAAAAGUUUAGUACCACAAGAUCAGCUGUGUCAAGUACAAUGUAUGUACUUCACUACGGCGUAAAUGUUCAUUCCUAUGAAUCAUGAAUGGCCGGUCGAGAAACCGGAUCACAAGGCAAUUCAGUUAAACCUUGGCACUUAAAAUGAGUGUGCGUGUUGCUAAAAAAAUGCGAGGAGGCCCUCAGAGUGAAAAGACAAAGAAUGCAUUCAUGUGUACCUUCUGAUUAGACAUUGAAUAUGUUACGAAGAAAGAAAACAUGUCCGAAAAUUUAACAAUGGGGCAAUUUUGUAGCAUUUUAGUUUAUAUGUUAAAAGAAACAAAUGAGAUUGAUCCUUGAAUGAAAAACUGGGAAUAAACUACGCCAAGAAUACUUAGCUG
rnacentral:lncRNA from 1 species